AUUUUUUGGAUUGAAAAGCAUAUCUUUUUAAGAUUAAAUAGAAACAACUAAAAUCAUAAAAAUUUUGCUACAUAAUUUUGAAUAAAAUAUAGAAAACAAAUAUAAUGGUCAUAAUAUUUCUUUUGAUGUUUGACUGUCAGUUAAAAUAUGUAAUGUUCAAAUUAGCAAUAAGAGAAUUAUUUUGGAAAUUCUUAAAAUAUUGUUGAAUGUUUAGUGUUGAUUAAAAUUCUUACUAAGUAAAAAUAUGUACGUGAAACUGGUGUUCAAGAAAGUUAAAUGUCAUAACUGCAGUUAGAUUUGUAUUUUGUCUUCUUUUGCAAUGAAUAUAGCAAAAUUUUUAUGUAAACAACCAAUGUUAAGCUGCCAUUUUUUUUUUUUAAAUAUAUACUAGUAUAUUAUAACAAUGUAAAAACAUUUUUAAUACAUUCAAUUGUAUAAGUUAAUGAUAUUUCAUAAUGGAACAACUUGCUUUCUUCUAUAAUAACUAGGUCAAAAAUGCACUAUCAGCAAGUAUCACAAAAAUUUUUUUAAUCAGUAUAACGUUUUCGGACCUACUUCUGGUCCCUCUUCAGUACAGGUUUUUUAAGAACAAAAAAAAAAAGUAGGUCUGAAAAUGUUGUGAUACUGGUAGUGCAUUUUUGACCUAGUUAUUAUAAGUUAAUAUUUUUGACAUAAAAUGUCAUCAAUGUAUAGAAUUACUUAUUAUAAGUAGUUUUCUAGGAUUAUAAUUGAAUGGAUUCUAUUCCAUUCAUCUGCCAUUUUUGAGGAUUGCCCAGGAGUGGCCUUCAUUUAUACAAAUGCAUUGACAAAGAUAUAUUAAUUCCAAAUUAUUGAGUUGUUUCAUAUGAAAACUGUUGUCUUUCAUUACUGGGAGAAUUCUUCCCUCUUGUGGAAAAGUUGUUCAAGUGGUUCUUUGUAAACUCAUCCUAACAUUAAAAAGAUAGUAUCAUCUUAAUUUCUGAAUCAAAAAUUAAUCAAUUUCUGAAAUUUAUUAUUUUUUAAAAUAAUUUAUUAAUUUCUGUAUUUCAGAGUUAAAAAUUGCAUUAUGGUUAAUUAUAAGAAAUUAAGAAUAAUCUAUUUGUUUGAAUGUAAACAAGGGAUUGCUGCAGCAAAUAGAGCCUGGAGAAUCAGUUUGUCAUUCAGAGAAGGUACUGUUAAGCGGCAGUCACACCUUGCGAUUUUUAGCCACGGCCAUGGCCACAACUGUGACUGGAAGAAGUUGCUUGUUGCACUUGACUGUUUGUGGUCACACUGUAGUUACCGCUGUCGCGCUAAUCUCCACUUUUAGCCAAUAAAAUUGUAGCAACGUUCUGACUUGGUUAAGCAAUGAAAUAAGAGCUGACUCGUCUUGUUCAAGUGUAAGCUACAAGAUGGACAGAUUGGAAAGACGAAAAAAAGCGAUAAUUUUGUUAGCCUUGGCUGAUAUACACAGAUCGGAAG
rnacentral:lncRNA from 1 species